GGGGCUGCAAAAAAUGGGCUUCAGUUACCAAAAAGGACUAGCAUAUGAUGAUGGCUUGAAAUAUGUGUGCUGUUUGCAGCUGAAUGAAAAAUGGAAUUGUCAAUGUGUUUCAGCAGGGGUGCACUCCUCAAUCCACACCAAAUUUAAGUCUAAAUCUGAGGUAUGUAUUGUUGAAUAUAUUUCUAAUAUCAAAUUGCUAGCUGGCCUUUCACAUAUAUCUUCUCUACCACUUCCCUGCCAUGUUGUGGGGAAAAUUCAGGACAAGUGUAGAGUAUUUAUUACGUGUACAAAAGAAAGUUUCUUACAAGAAAAUUGCACUGACUGCAGUUGCAAACUGGUAAAUCCUUUUUGGAUUGGUAGAAUAUCGCCUAUCUUAAAUUUGUUUCAAAGCAAAAUUUUGGAUAUAUUUUCCCCAAAGUUGGAGAAGCAAACACUGCUUUGAAUUGGAGGGACCAUUGAAAAUAAUCCCAACGUGGUCAUCUGCUGCAGCCACUGUCUUAAUAAAAUAUAUUUAAAUUUUCUGAUACAUUCUCUUAGAGAUAUUGGAGGAAAAGCCUGUCCAGCUCUUUCACUGAUUAAAAAGCUCACGAUAACAGAUGCCUCAUGAGGUUCACAGAUCUUUUUACUAGAUAAGGAUGACACACUUUUUCUCAGGGAUAAGAGGACUCCCCCAAAUAUGACUCCCCCAUAUUGCAAACCGUUUGAGAUUUUGUGCCUUUGCUGCAAAAUCAUAUUUUCAAGUAACUUUUUUUCUUCAAGUAAUACAACUGAGUGUAAUGCAGCUGCUACCUAGAUUUGGGCCUUAGAUUUCACAGUUUCUCCUUUAGUAGUUGGGUAGGAACAUACCAGCUUUUAACUAAUGAUGAUUUUAGCCUAUGUUGUGUGUGUAUUCGCAUGCAUGUAUGUACAAGAGGAAAGGCUUUGCCAGUACAGUAAGGGCAGUGGUGUGCGCAUAUUUUGUAUAU